rnacentral:rRNA from 1 species
CACGUAGGGCGCAAGCGUUGUCCGGAAUUAUUGGGCGUAAAGAGCUCGUAGGCGGUCUGUUGCGUCCGCUGUGAAAACUCGGGGCUUAACCCCGAGCCUGCAGUGGAUACGGGCAGACUAGAGGUAGGUAGGGGAGAAUGGAAUUCCCGGUGUAGCGGUGAAAUGUGCAGAUAUCGGGAGGAACACCAGUAGCGAAGGCGGCACUCUGGGCCGGUACUGACGCUGAGGAGCGAAAGCGUGGGGAGCGAACAGG